AACUGAUGAAUCACUGCAGCUCCAAUAUAUUGUUGCAUUUGACAACCCACUACAGCAACUACAGAAUAAAACCACUAACCAGACUGAUGACAGAUUUCAAACAUGCUGAAUAUGAAGAGUAGUAUCAUUUAAACUCACAUGAUUAUCAGCCAUAAGAACAAAUUCAGAUUUAUAUUGAUGUAAGGUAUAUAAAUGUAAGUACAGUUUGAAUCAGUGCAAUAUUAUUUUCACACAUCAAUGGACCACUGAACUUCUCAGCUUCUAAAAUGUAAAGCCUCAUUUAGAAACUACACAAGUACAUAUAAUGGUCAGGGAUCAACAUGAACCUGUCUUCUCUAUUUGACUUUAAUCAACUCUGCAGUGGCUCCAAGUCCA